rnacentral:rRNA from 1 species
AAACCAACCGGGAUUGCCUUAGUAACGGCGAGUGAAGCGGCAAAAGCUCAAAUUUGAAAUCUGGCGUCUUCGACGUCCGAGUUGUAAUUUGAAGAAGGCAACUUUGUAGCUGGUCCUUGUCUAUGUUCCUUGGAACAGGACGUCAUAGAGGGUGAGAAUCCCGUGUGGCGAGGAUCCCAGUUAUUUGUAAAGUGCUUUCGACGAGUCGAGUUGUUUGGGAAUGCAGCUCUAAGUGGGUGGUAAAUUCCAUCUAAAGCUAAAUAUUGGCGAGAGACCGAUAGCGAACAAGUACAGUGAUGGAAAGAUGAAAAGAACUUUGAAAAGAGAGUGAAAAAGUACGUGAAAUUGUUGAAAGGGAAGGGCAUUUGAUCAGACAUGGCGUUUGCUUCGGCUUUCGCUGGGCCAGCAUCAGUUUUAGCGGUUGGAUAAAUCCUCGGGAAUGUGGCUCUGCUUCGGUAGAGUGUUAUAGCCCGUGGGAAUACAGCCAGCUGGGACUGAGGAUUGCGACUUUUGUCAAGGAUGCUGGCGUAAUGGUUAAAUGCCG